UGGGGAAUCUUGGACAAUGGGCGCAAGCCUGAUCCAGCCAUGCCGCGUGAGUGAUGAAGGCCCUAGGGUUGUAAAACUCUUUCGUGGGGGACGAUAAUGACGGUACCCCAAGAAGAAGCUCCGGCUAACUUCGUGCCAGCAGCCGCGGUAAUACGAAGGGGGCUAGCGUUGUUCGGAUUUACUGGGCGUAAAGCGCGUGUAGGCGGACUGGAAAGUUGGGGGUGAAAUCCCGAGGCUCAACCUCGGAACUGCCUCCAAAACUUCCAGUCUGGACUCAAGCAGAGGCAAGUGGAAUUGCGAGUGUAGAGGUGAAAUUCGUAGAUAUUCGCAGGAACACCAGUGGCGAAGGCGACUUGCUGGGCUUGUAGUGACGCUGAGACGCGAAAGCGUGGGGAGCAAACA
rnacentral:rRNA from 1 species